GGGAGGCUGGGAGGGAGCACCGGCCCGGCUGCAAAUAGAAGGCACGCAGCAGCUCCGGCUGCGAGGCUCCAGGCCGGCCCAAGGGCACCGAGGCCCCAGCCUACCGGAGCCAACAAAGAGGCGGGUCUCUCCUCUUACCGUCUCACUCCUGUCCUAUCUACCCUCUCCUAGUCCCGGACUGGGAGUGGGUCUUAUAAGUCGGGACAGAACAGACCCCGCUUUUGCUGGGGCAACGGAGCUGGUGCCCUCACUGUCUAUGCUCAGGAGGACGGCGCUGGGCGACCCACAGAGCCCGCGUGGGGUAUUGCGGGGGGGUGCAGGUUGGACCUCGCUCUACGCCAGGAGGCCGCGCCUGGUCACCUGCCGGACCGAUCCGGAGACGGUUUUAUCAGGCGGGCUCCUGGUAAAAACACUUGCGGAGUCUGCCCUCUCCGACGUAGGGGCACUAGUGGGAGGAAGCCCCGGGGAAGACAGGGUCUCUCUUGGACCCACCUGGUCGUGGAGCGGUUUCCGCGUUAAGAGCCCAACAGGUGCCGAAGGUGGAGUCGGACCAGCGGCCCUUUUACUCUUCCAGGAAGGAAGGGAUCCUUGCCUGCCCGCCCCCGUCACUCCCACCCUUGCUUUUGGAGAGCAGGUCUCUUCAAAUCCUCAAGAUGUCUUUGGCCCUUGAGUGACUCUCCUCAAGUUACCAGAGCCUUGCUGACAAUAGAUAACUGCUGUCCUGUAUGACCCACAAGACAUUGAAUGAGAGGGAUACCUUGAAGACAAAUAGAUGAAGAUUAGAGACGGGACCAGUAUGUGUACCCAACUUCACAGACCUUCAGAGAUCUACCAGAAACCCCAGUGCCUGUUGUCCUUGGCAGUGUGAGUGCAAUGACAGUGAAACAUUUCUUCAUUCACCUCUCGGCCCUUCCUGCUUGUGGCAAAGGUGUCAAGCAGAUUGCUGGGCAUGAAGGCGUAGUAGUUGUGUCUGACCACUGUGCAAGUGUCUCCUUCUGUAGCCAGGGUCACAUCGAGGGCACUGAAGUUGAGAACAGCCCAUGUGGGUUUCUUGUAGUUGGCUAGUCACUGAUCCGGAAGCCCAUGCUGAGAUUAUCCAGGGACGAGGUGAAUGGCUUCAGUAGCAACGAAUAGGUGAUUCUGUUGUUGAAUCUAACCUCUUGAGCCAGGUGAUAGAUUUCUGGGGAUGGUACCCCAAAAGUGGCAAACGUCUCCCCAAAAAGUCGUGAGGUCCUGGAUGGAACAUAGGCCCAGUUCUGUAGUUGUUUUUGUGACCUCACCUUCCCUGGAACUGAGCUCACCUAUGGGGGGAUCUGCAAUGUUGUGAAUACCUCUUGUUCUUACAGUAAGAGUGAGGUGACCCUGAGGGAGGGGGUAAUUGUUUUAGAGAUAAUUUAAGAAUGCAAGGAGAUUGUAGGAAAUAGAGUAAGAUGGAGAGAUUGGUAAAAUCAGGAAGGUAGCAAGGCGCCUGGGUGGCUCAGUAGGUUGAGUGUCUGACUUCAGCUCAGGUUAGGAUCUCAUGGUUGGUGAGUUUGAGCCCCUCCUCGGGCUCUGUGCUGACAGCUUGGAGCCUGGAGCUUCUUCAGAUUCUGUGUCUCCCUCUCUCUCUGCCCCUCCCCCACUCAUUCUCUCUCUCUCUCUCUCUCUCUCUC